GAUGAACGCUGGCGGCGUGCCUAAUACAUGCAAGUAGAACGCUGAAGCUUGGUGCUUGCACCGAGCGGAUGAGUUGCGAACGGGUGAGUAACGCGUAGGUAACCUGCCUCUUAGCGGGGGAUAACUAUUGGAAACGAUAGCUAAUACCGCAUAAAAGUCGACAUCGCAUGAUGUUGACUUGAAAGGUGCAAUUGCAUCACUAAGAGAUGGACCUGCGUUGUAUUAGCUAGUUGGUGAGGUAACGGCUCACCAAGGCGACGAUACAUAGCCGACCUGAGAGGGUGAUCGGCCACACUGGGACUGAGACACGGCCCAGACUCCUACGGGAGGCAGCAGUAGGGAAUCUUCGGCAAUGGGGGCAACCCUGACCGAGCAACGCCGCGUGAGUGAAGAAGGUUUUCGGAUCGUAAAGCUCUGUUGUAAGAGAAGAACGAGUGUGAGAGUGGAAAGUUCACACUGUGACGGUAUCUUACCAGAAAGGG
rnacentral:rRNA from 1 species